CCUACGGGAGGCAGCAGUGAGGAAUAUUGGUCAAUGGACGAGAGUCUGAACCAGCCAAGUAGCGUGAAGGAUGACUGCCCUAUGGGUUGUAAACUUCUUUUAUAUGGGAAUAAAAUGUUCCACGUGUGGGAUUUUGUAUGUACCAUAUGAAUAAGGAUCGGCUAACGCCGUGCCAGCAGCCGCGGUAAUACGGAGGAACCGAGCGUUAUCCGGAUUUAUUGGGUUUAAAGGGAGCGUAGGUGGAUUGUUAAGUCAGUUGUGAAAGUUUGCGGCUCAACCGUAAAAUUGCAGUUGAAACUGGCAGUCUUGAGUACAGUAGAGGUGGGCGGAAUUCGUGGUGUAGCGGUGAAAUGCUUAGAUAUCACGAAGAACUCCGAUUGCGAAGGCAGUUCACUGGACUGCAACUGACACUGAGGCUCGAAAGUGUGGGUAUCAAACAGGAUUAGAUACCCCAGUAGUC
rnacentral:rRNA from 1 species